rnacentral:tRNA from 1 species
GUCGGCGUGGCCGGCAUGCCGGACGGUCUCGCUCGUCAUGUGGGCGAGCACCCAGCGAAGCGUACGAGGCGCGUCACCGACC